CACUCCUACGGGAGGCAGCAGUGGGGAAUUUUGGACAAUGGGCGAAAGCCUGAUCCAGCCAUGCCGCGUGCAGGAUGAAGGCCUUCGGGUUGUAAACUGCUUUUGUACGGAACGAAACGGCCUUUUCUAAUAAAGAGGGCUAAUGACGGUACCGUAAGAAUAAGCACCGGCUAACUACGUGCCAGCAGCCGCGGUAAUACGUAGGGUGCAAGCGUUAAUCGGAAUUACUGGGCGUAAAGCGUGCGCAGGCGGUUAUGUAAGACAGUUGUGAAAUCCCCGGGCUCAACCUGGGAACUGCAUCUGUGACUGCAUAGCUAGAGUACGGUAGAGGGGGAUGGAAUUCCGCGUGUAGCAGUGAAAUGCGUAGAUAUGCGGAGGAACACCGAUGGCGAAGGCAAUCCCCUGGACCUGUACUGACGCUCAUGCACGAAAGCGUGGGGAGCAAACAGGAUUAGAUACCCGUGUAGUCCCAUG
rnacentral:rRNA from 1 species